rnacentral:rRNA from 2 species
GUUAUAUGGUCAAGCGACUAAGCGCACAUGGUGGAUGCCUAGGCAGUAAGAGGCGAUGAAGGACGUGGUAGUCUGCGAUAAGCUUCGGUUAGCUGACAAACAAGCUUUGACCCGGAGAUUUCCGAAUGGGGAAACCCACUCUGCUUGCAGAGUAUCUUGCACUGAAUACAUAGGUGUAGGAGGCGAACGCGGUGAACUGAAACAUCUAAGUAACCGUAGGAAAAGAAAUCAACCGAGAUUCCCUCAGUAGCGGCGAGCGAACGGGGACCAGCCCAGUUACCAUCAAUCUGAUGACCCUAGUAAAACGAUCUGGAAAGUUCGGCCAUAGAAGGUGAUAGCCCUGUAUACGAAAGGCGAUGAUGAGGAGUAACAAAGAGUAGGUCGGGGCACGUGAAACCUUGACUGAACAUGGGGGGACCAUCCUC